rnacentral:rRNA from 1 species
UACGUAGGGUGCAAGCGUUUGUCCGGAAUUAUUGGGCGUAAAGAGCUCGUAGGCGGUCUGUCGCGUCUGCUGUGAAAACUCGGGGCUUAACCCCGGGCCUGCGGUGGGUACGGGCAGACUAGAGUGCGGUAGGGGAGACUGGAAUUCCUGGUGUAGCGGUGAAAUGCGCAGAUAUCAGGAGGAACACCGGUGGCGAAGGCGGGUCUCUGGGCCGUAACUGACGCUGAGGAGCGAAAGCGUGGGGAGCGAACAGG